GAUGAACGCUGGCGGCGUGCCUAAUACAUGCAAGUCGAGCGAACAGACGAGGAGCUUGCUCCUCUGACGUUAGCGGCGGACGGGUGAGUAACACGUGGAUAACCUACCUAUAAGACUGGGAUAACUUCGGGAUACCGGAGCUAAUACCGGAUAAUAUAUUGAACCGCAUGGUUCAAUAGUGAAAGACGGUUUUGCUGUCACUUAUAGAUGGAUCCGCGCCGCAUUAGCUAGUUGGUAAGGUAACGGCUUACCAAGGCAACGAUGCGUAGCCGACCUGAGAGGGUGAUCGGCCACACUGGAACUGAGACACGGUCCAGACUCCUACGGGAGGCAGCAGUAGGGAAUCUUCCGCAAUGGGCGAAAGCCUGACGGAGCAACGCCGCGUGAGUGAUGAAGGUCUUCGGAUCGUAAAACUCUGUUAUUAGGGAAGAACAAAUGUGUAAGUAACUAUGCACGUCUUGACGGUACCUAAUCAGAAAGCCACGGCUAACUACGUG
rnacentral:rRNA from 1 species